GACGAACGCUGGCGGCGUGCUUAACACAUGCAAGUCGAACGGAAAGGCCCUGCUUUUGUGGGGUGCUCGAGUGGCGAACGGGUGAGUAACACGUGAGUAACCUGCCCUUGACUUUGGGAUAACUUCAGGAAACUGGGGCUAAUACCGGAUAGGAGCUCCUGCUGCAUGGUGGGGGUUGGAAAGUUUCGGCGGUUGGGGAUGGACUCGCGGCUUAUCAGCUUGUUGGUGGGGUAGUGGCUUACCAAGGCUUUGACGGGUAGCCGGCCUGAGAGGGUGACCGGCCACAUUGGGACUGAGAUACGGCCCAGCCUCCUACGGGAGGCAGCAGUGGGAAAUAUUGCACAAUGGGCGGAAGCCUGAUGCAGCAACGCCGCGUGCGGGAUGACGGCCUUCGGGUUGUAAACCGCUUUCGCCUGUGACGAAGCGUGAGUGACGGUAAUGGGUAAAGAAGCACCGGCUAACUACGUG
rnacentral:rRNA from 1 species